rnacentral:rRNA from 1 species
GAGCGGCGGACGGGUGAGUAACACGUGGGUAACCUGCCCAAGAGACUGGGAUAACACCUGGAAACAGAUGCUAAUACCGGAUAACAACACUAGACGCAUGUCUAGAGUUUGAAAGAUGGUUCUGCUAUCACUCUUGGAUGGACCUGCGGUGCAUUAGCUAGUUGGUAAGGUAACGGCUUACCAAGGCAAUGAUGCAUAGCCGAGUUGAGAGACUGAUCGGCCACAUUGGGACUGAGACACGGCCCAAACUCCUACGGGAGGCAGCAGUAGGGAAUCUUCCACAAUGGACGAAAGUCUGAUGGAGCAACGCCGCGUGAGUGAAGAAGGGUUUCGGCUCGUAAAGCUCUGUUGGUAGUGAAGAAAGAUAGAGGUAGUAACUGGCCUUUAUUUGACGGUAAUUACUUAGAAAGUCACGGCUAACUACGUGCCAGCAGCCGCGGUAAUACGUAGGUGGCAAGCGUUGUCCGGAUUUAUUGGGCGUAAAGCGAGUGCAGGCGGUUCAAUAAGUCUGAUGUGAAAGCCUUCGGCUCAACCGGAGAAUUGCAUCAGAAACUGUUGAACUUGAGUGCAGAAGAGGAGAGUGGAACUCCAUGUGUAGCGG